AAACUUUACAAUGCGGGAAACCGUGAUAAGGGAACCUCGAGUGCCGAUGCAUAGCAUCGGCUGUCCAGAUGCCUAAAAAGCAUCUGAUAGCAAGGGCCGGGCAAGACCGGUGCCAGCCGCCGCGGUAACACCGGCGGCUCGAGUGGUGGCCACUUUUAUUGGGUCUAAAGCGUCCGUAGCCGGCUUGGCAAGUCCCCUGGGAAAUCUGGCGGCUUAACCGUCAGGCGUCCAGAGGAUACUGCCAGGCUUGGGACCGGGAGAGGUGAGAGGUACCUCAGGGGUAGGGGUGAAAUCUUGUGAUCCCUGAGGGACCACCAGUGGCGAAGGCGUCUCACUAGAACGGGUCCGACGGUCAGGGACGAAAGCUGGGGGCACGUACCGG
rnacentral:rRNA from 1 species